GACGAACGCUGGCGGCGUGCUUAACACAUGCAAGUCGAACGGAAAGGCCCUGCUUGCAGGGUACUCGAGUGGCGAACGGGUGAGUAACACGUGGGUGAUCUGCCCUGCACUUCGGGAUAAGCCUGGGAAACUGGGUCUAAUACCGGAUAGGAGCCAUUUUUAGUGUGAUGGUUGGAAAGUUUUUUCGGUGUAGGAUGAGCUCGCGGCCUAUCAGCUUGUUGGUGGGGUAAUGGCCUACCAAGGCGGCGACGGGUAGCCGGCCUGAGAGGGUGGACGGCCACAUUGGGACUGAGAUACGGCCCAGACUCCUACGGGAGGCAGCAGUGGGGAAUAUUGCACAAUGGGCGCAAGCCUGAUGUAGCGACGCCGCGUGGGGGAUGACGGCCUUCGGGUUGUAAACUCCUUUCGCUAGGGACGAAGCUUUUUGUGACGGUACCUAGAGAAGAAGCACCGGCUAACUACGUG
rnacentral:rRNA from 1 species